CCUAGCCUUCUCCUUUCACAUGGGAUAUUAAUGAAGAGUUCUGAUUUUAGAACAUGAUGCCUUCUCUGAACAAAGGAUGUAACGAAGAAUUCCAAAAUAGACAUUGGGAAUAAAUAAAUUCCUUUGAAAAGCAGUGCAUUUGCCGCAAUGAUUUUGUCAGACACCUUUAUUCCCGAACCCAAAAUUUCAUGUGUGAGCUUCUGAGGACUCUGGCAAGACUUACAGUGUCGACGGAUAAUGAUGUAUUCAUCUAAACUUCUAGCCCUUGCAAAAAGAAACGAUGUCUCCACUAUAUCUCAUUAUGAGGCACGUGCUCUGUCAUCAGGUGCUGAGGGGAUGGCAGCGAACCCCAUAGGAUGCUAAUGAUAAUGCUGGACGUGGUGCUGUACUGAUUAACCAUUAUGGUAAAGAAGCAGUGCCCGCGUCCUCCAUCACUCCCUCACACACUCUGCCCAGGAACAGCGUGAAUAUGAGUUAAUUUUUAUUGGAAAAAGUUUUCACGAAGACAUUCCUUCCUCGACAAAUAAGCAUUGUGGUUUUGCAUGUAUGAAAAACCACCACUCGA